UUAAGCGACUAAGCGUACACGGUGGAUGCCCUGGCAGUCAGAGGCGAUGAAGGACGUGCUAAUCUGCGAUAAGCGUCGGUGAGGUGAUAUGAACCGUUAUAACCGGCGAUUUCCGAAUGGGGAAACCCAGUGUGUUUCGACACACUAUCAUUAACUGAAUCCAUAGGUUAAUGAGGCGAACCGGGGGAACUGAAACAUCUAAGUACCCCGAGGAAAAGAAAUCAACCGAGAUUCCCCCAGUAGCGGCGAGCGAACGGGGAGCAGCCCAGAGCCUGAAUCAGUGUGUGUGUUAGUGGAAGCGUCUGGAAAGGCGCGCGAUACAGGGUGACAGCCCCGUACACAAAAAUGCACAUACUGUGAGCUCGAUGAGUAGGGCGGGACACGUGGUAUCCUGUCUGAAUAUGGGGGGACCAUCCUCCAAGGCUAAAUACUCCUGACUGACCGAUAGUGAACCAGUACCGUGAGGGAAAGGCGAAAAGAACCCCGGCGAGGGGAGUGAAAAAGAACCUGAAACCGUGUACGUACAAGCAGUGGGAGCCUCUUUUAUGGGGUGACUGCGUACCUUUUGUAUAAUGGGUCAGCGACUUAUAUUCUGUAGCAAGGUUAACCGAAUAGGGGAGCCGAAGGGAAACCGAGUCUUAACUGGGCGUUAAGUUGCAGGGUAUAGACCCGAAACCCGGUGAUCUAGCCAUGGGCAGGUUGAAGGUUGGGUAACACUAACUGGAGGACCGAACCGACUAAUGUUGAAAAAUUAGCGGAUGACUUGUGGCUGGGGGUGAAAGGCCAAUCAAACCGGGAGAUAGCUGGUUCUCCCCGAAAGCUAUUUAGGUAGCGCCUCGUGAAUUCAUCUCCGGGGGUAGAGCACUGUUUCGGCAAGGGGGUCAUCCCGACUUACCAACCCGAUGCAAACUGCGAAUACCGGAGAAUGUUAUCACGGGAGACACACGGCGGGUGCUAACGUCCGUCGUGAAGAGGGAAACAACCCAGACCGCCAGCUAAGGUCCCAAAGUCAUGGUUAAGUGGGAAACGAUGUGGGAAGGCCCAGACAGCCAGGAUGUUGGCUUAGAAGCAGCCAUCAUUUAAAGAAAGCGUAAUAGCUCACUGGUCGAGUCGGCCUGCGCGGAAGAUGUAACGGGGCUAAACCAUGCACCGAAGCUGCGGCAGCGACACUGUGUGUUGUUGGGUAGGGGAGCGUUCUGUAAGCCUGUGAAGGUGUGCUGUGAGGCAUGCUGGAGGUAUCAGAAGUGCGAAUGCUGACAUAAGUAACGAUAAAGCGGGUGAAAAGCCCGCUCGCCGGAAGACCAAGGGUUCCUGUCCAACGUUAAUCGGGGCAGGGUGAGUCGACCCCUAAGGCGAGGCCGAAAGGCGUAGUCGAUGGGAAACAGGUUAAUAUUCCUGUACUUGGUGUUACUGCGAAGGGGGGACGGAGAAGGCUAUGUUGGCCGGGCGACGGUUGUCCCGGUUUAAGCGUGUAGGCUGAUUUUCCAGGCAAAUCCGGAAAACUAAGGCUGAGGCGUGAUGACGAGGCACUACGGUGCUGAAGCAACAAAUGCCCUGCUUCCAGGAAAAGCCUCUAAGCAUCAGGUAACAUCAAAUCGUACCCCAAACCGACACAGGUGGUCAGGUAGAGAAUACCAAGGCGCUUGAGAGAACUCGGGUGAAGGAACUAGGCAAAAUGGUGCCGUAACUUCGGGAGAAGGCACGCUGAUAUGUAGGUGAAGUCCCUCGCGGAUGGAGCUGAAAUCAGUCGAAGAUACCAGCUGGCUGCAACUGUUUAUUAAAAACACAGCACUGUGCAAACACGAAAGUGGACGUAUACGGUGUGACGCCUGCCCGGUGCCGGAAGGUUAAUUGAUGGGGUUAGCGGUAACGCGAAGCUCUUGAUCGAAGCCCCGGUAAACGGCGGCCGUAACUAUAACGGUCCUAAGGUAGCGAAAUUCCUUGUCGGGUAAGUUCCGACCUGCACGAAUGGCGUAAUGAUGGCCAGGCUGUCUCCACCCGAGACUCAGUGAAAUUGAACUCGCUGUGAAGAUGCAGUGUACCCGCGGCAAGACGGAAAGACCCCGUGAACCUUUACUAUAGCUUGACACUGAACAUUGAGCCUUGAUGUGUAGGAUAGGUGGGAGGCUUUGAAGUGUGGACGCCAGUCUGCAUGGAGCCGGCCUUGAAAUACCACCCUUUAAUGUUUGAUGUUCUAACGUUGGCCCCUGACCGGGGUUGCGGACAGUGUCUGGUGGGUAGUUUGACUGGGGCGGUCUCCUCCUAAAGAGUAACGGAGGAGCACGAAGGUUGGCUAAUCCUGGUCGGACAUCAGGAGGUUAGUGCAAUGGCAUAAGCCAGCUUGACUGCGAGCGUGACGGCGCGAGCAGGUGCGAAAGCAGGUCAUAGUGAUCCGGUGGUUCUGAAUGGAAGGGCCAUCGCUCAACGGAUAAAAGGUACUCCGGGGAUAACAGGCUGAUACCGCCCAAGAGUUCAUAUCGACGGCGGUGUUUGGCACCUCGAUGUCGGCUCAUCACAUCCUGGGGCUGAAGUAGGUCCCAAGGGUAUGGCUGUUCGCCAUUUAAAGUGGUACGCGAGCUGGGUUUAGAACGUCGUGAGACAGUUCGGUCCCUAUCUGCCGUGGGCGCUGGAGAACUGAGGGGGGCUGCUCCUAGUACGAGAGGACCGGAGUGGACGCAUCACUGGUGUUCGGGUUGUCAUGCCAAUGGCACUGCCCGGUAGCUAAAUGCGGAAGAGAUAAGUGCUGAAAGCAUCUAAGCACGAAACUUGCCCCGAGAUGAGUUCUCCCUGACUCCUUGAGGGUCCUGAAGGAACGUUGAAGACGACGACGUUGAUAGGCCGGGUGUGUAAGCGCAGCGAUGCGUUGAGCUAACCGGUACUAAUGAACCGUGAGGCUUAACCUU
rnacentral:rRNA from 1 species